rnacentral:rRNA from 1 species
GAAAGAAUAUCGGAGACGGAUGGGCAUGCGGCGCAUUAGCUAGUUGGCGGGGUAACGGCCCACCAAGGCGACGAUGCGUAGGGGUUCUGAGAGGAAGGUCCCCCACACUGGUACUGAGACACGGACCAGACUCCUACGGGAGGCAGCAGUGAGGAAUAUUGGUCAAUGGGCGAGAGCCUGAACCAGCCAAGUCGCGUGAGGGAGUACUGCCCUAUGGGUUGUAAACCUCUUUUGUCGGGGAGCAAAAGCCGGACGUGUCCGGCUGUGAGAGUACCCGAAGAAAAAGCAUCGGCUAACUCCGUGCCAGCAGCCGCGGUAAUACGGAGGAUGCGAGCGUUAUCCGGAUUUAUUGGGUUUAAAGGGUGCGCAGGCGGAUUUUUAAGUCAGCGGUCAAAUCGUGGGGCUCAACCCCAUCCAGCCGUUGAAACUGGGGAUCUAGAGUGUGCGAGAGGUAUGCGGAAUGCGUGGUGUAGCGGUGAAAUGCAUAGAUAUCACGCAGAACCCCGAUUGCGAAGGCAGCAUACCGGUGCACAACUGACGCUCAGGCACGAAAGCGUGGGUAUCGAACAGGAUUA